UCAUGAUUCCACUUGGCUGAGGUAUCUUCUCUGGCGGCGGCAGUGAAUGUGACAACGGUGUACGGGAGCUGCGUGUGUGGAGACUCGAUGAAAAUGGGUGGCUCCGGCAUCAACAGCAGGCAGCGGCUAGGGUUCUGACCAUGACCACCUGAUCCGCUGUAUAAGGAGUUGUGGAAGGCUUGUGCAGGGCCAUUUGUGAAGAUCCGCUGGAAAAACGAACGCUUUUGAUGAGGAUGUUACAUAACCUAGCUUUAUAGUUGAUGAUACAAACUGUGAAACUCAAGAUGAUGACAACACCAACGAAGAUAGCGAGUCAGAUGAUGACGAUGAUCAUUUCGAUUCUGUUUGUGCGAUAUGUGAUAAUGGUGGCAAGCUUACAUGUUGUGAAGAGAGAUGUUUUAGGUCGUUUCACGCAACCCCAGAUUCUGAAGAGGCACAAGAGUCUAAAUGUGAAUCUCUUUGUUUAUCUCUUGAAGAACUGGAGAGUCAAAAUGAAUAUAAGUGUGAAAAUUGCCAGUAUAGUCUGCAGCAGUACUUUGUCUGUGGUGAACUAGGGUCUUCUGAUAAAUCUUCAAAUACAGAGGUUUUUCGUUGUAGUUCUGCAACGUGUGACCACUUUUAUCACCCGAAAUGCGUAGCUAAGUUGCUCCAGAAAAACGAUAAGACCGAGCGACAUACAGUUCAAGAAAAGAUUGCUGCAGGGUAACCGUUUAUAUGUCCAGCUCACAAGUGUGCCAUUUGUAAGCAAACCGAAAACGAAAAAGUCGAAGAUUUGCAGUUUGCAGUUUGUUGAUGCAGAGGUUGAAGGGUUUUAUCCCAAUUCAACAGAAAGGGCAUCGAUGAAUUGGGUUCUGAUAGGAGUUUCAAGGGUUAUUUUGAACCCAAAACUCAAAAAGAAGAGCAACAAAUCAACAAUUGCUGGUAUUUCGUUGAGUUAUUUGUAUAAUUGUGUGUUACACGUGCAGUUGUGCUAUGUACUAAUUAGCUUGUGAUAUGCUCAUGAUUAUGUUUUUUAUA